UACGUAGGGUGCAAGCGUUGUCCGGAAUUAUUGGGCGUAAAGAGCUCGUAGGCGGUCUGUCACGUCGGCUGUGAAAACCCGAGGCUCAACCUCGGGCCUGCAGUCGAUACGGGCAGGCUAGAGUUCGGUAGGGGAGACUGGAAUUCCUGGUGUAGCGGUGAAAUGCGCAGAUAUCAGGAGGAACACCGAUGGCGAAGGCAG
rnacentral:rRNA from 1 species